CACAUCAAGCCCACGCGAAUCGGCGCCAACAUCAUCGGCGGGCUGCUGUUCGGCGCGGGCUUCGCGCUGAUGGGCUAUUGCCCCGGCACUGCCGCCGCGGCGCUGGGACAGGGAAGCUGGGACGCGCUCUUCGGCAUGGCAGGACUGAUCGCUGGUUCGUGGAUUUUCGCUGAACUCUCGGCACAUCUGAAAAAGACGGUGGAUCAGUGGGGCGAUCUCGGCAAAGUGCUGUUGCCGGAUUUGCUGCACGUGCCACGCGGAGUGUUUGUGGUGAUUUUUGCGGUGUUGCUCGCCGUGGGUUUGUUCGCAUUGGAAAGGGCAUUCCCCCGAUGACCGGCCAGCGAACAUAUCGUUUGUGCGGGAGCGCCUCGCAGCAGGAAGGCGCACGGCCGGCCCUCCUCUCGCCGGGCGGGAUGAUCGUGCGCGAGAAGGAGCCGUUGAAUCUCGAAAUGCCGUUCGGCUCGCUCGAUGGUUCAUCACGCCGGUGGACCGCUUUUUUGUGCGCAACCACUUUUCGAUCCCGCAGAUUGACGUGAAGACGUGGCGGCUAAAAAUCGAAGGCGAGGUCGAGACGCCGUUUGAACUGACCUACGACGAAGUUGAGGGAGAUGAAAUCACACACCAUCCCCGUGACGAUGGAAUGCGCGGGCAAUGGGCGUGCUUUCCUCACGCCCCAAGCCAGCGGUGCGCAAUGGGAGCGCGGCGCGGUCAGCAACGCGGAGUGGACCGGCGUGCCGCUCACCGACGUGCUGCGCCGCGCCGGCCUGAAGAACUCCGUGCGCGAAGUGAUCUUCGAAGGCGCGGACCGGGGCGAGAUCAAGGAACCACCAGGGCCUGCCGGAAAAAUUCAUUACGCGCGAAGCAUGCCGCUGAAGAAGGCGAACGAGGACGUGCUGCUCGCUUUCAAAAUGAACGGUGAAGAACUGACGCCCGCGCAUGGCUCGCCACUCCGUGUGAUCGUGCCCGGCUGGUAUGGCAUGGCCUUGGUAAAAUGGCUGACCCGGAUCAUCGCCAGCGCCGAGCCGUUCCACGGUUAUUACCAAAACCAUUGAUUACGCCUUUUGGGAGCGUGGGCCAAGCGCGCCCAUACUUGUCCCGAUCACCGAGAUGCAGGUGAAGGCCCAGAUCGCUCGGCCCGGUUUUGCAGAUGCGGUGCGCGCCGGGCAAAUGUAUCACGUGAGUGGUGCCGCUUGGACGACAGAGGCUGAGAUUACGAAGGUGGAAAUCAGCGCCGAUUGCGGCGAAACGUGGCGUGACACGCAACUGCUGGGCCAACAGAUCCGCAACGCCUGGCGGCUAUGGAAAUACCGUUGGCAGGUGCCGGCGGAAUCUGGGAAGGCAACGCUUAUGGUCCGGGCGACGGACUCGGAAGGCCGCACCCAGCCGACGGAGCGCGACGACGACCGCCGUAGCUACAUGGUGAACCACCUUCUCCCGAUCGAGGUGGAUGUGCGGUGAUCCAAGUCUUCGACUCAAUCCAAUCCCAACCGAAUCCAAACUAAUCCAACACAAACCGAACUAUGAAAAAGAAUCACGAACUCAGCAAAACAAAGAAUCAGCGAGCAACAACAGCCAUUGGAUCCACGCGAGUAUCCGCUGGCCCGGGAUUCGCGGGGUUCAGCGGGGCGCGAAGAAAUCCGUGCCCAGACGCCGAUGGUUUCCGCUCCGCGCCAAUCCCGUCGUCCUGUGGAACGAAGCAGCCGAAAGCGGGCGCAAAAGCGAUGAGGCGCGCUCGGGUGCUGGUGGUCGGGCGGAGGGAUUUGGAUUUGCCGUGGCACUCACCGCCCUCCUCGUGCUGUUACAACGAUUCACCACCCGCUGACGACAACUAGAACCACGGCCGACAGCCCAUGGACCAAUGGAAACGGAGAAUUAUGAAACCAGAAACCCCAUCCAAACCCAAAGGACUCCCCGGCGCCCAAGUGGCCAAGCCCUUGAACUCGUCAGCUACCAGGGCGGCGCCGUCGUCAGCCGCGAAAUCGUCAAGAAGCCCACCGGCAGUGUGACGAUCUUCGCCUUCGAUGAAGGCCAGGGCCUGAGCGAGCACACAGCCCCGUUCGACGCGCUGGUGCAAGUGGUGGAAGGCGCGGCUAUCAUGAUUUCCGGCCAGCCCCACCAGUUGCAGGGCGGCGAGAUGAUUCUGAUGCCCGCCGGUCAGCCGCACGCGCUCAAGGCGCUCAAGCGGUUCAAGAUGGUACUUACGCUGAUUCGAUCCUGAACCCAACCGGCUCUCGCCCCCCAUGACCCCGGUACCCGCCAUCGCCGCACAGCCCAAGGGCGAAGCCUGGCACAGCCAGUCGGCUGAGAAAGUGCUAGCCCAACACGGCUCCGCAGCGACCGGACUGUCGGCGCAGGAAGCAGCGAAACGCCUCGCGGCUGACGGCCGAACGAAUUGAAGGAAGGGAAGCGCAUCAGCCCUCUCCAGAUUUUCCUCGGCCAGUUCAAGAGUCUUAUCAUCUGGAUUCUCAUCGUGGCGGCGUUGCAGGCAAAGCAGAAUCCCGACAUGUCCAUCAAUUCAUCAAUUGAGCGAUUCAGCAAGCCCAGCGGAGUUGGCCACCCACGCCAAAAUCGUGGAGGCAGGCCGCAAGCCGUUUUCUGUCCUGGCCAUCAACAGCGGUUCGUCGAGCCUUCGAUUCACGCUCUUCAAGACGGGCGAAUCGCUCGCACCGAUUCUGACCGGCAAGUUCGAGCGCAUCGGAUUGCCCGACGCCGGGCUGUUGCUCACGGACGUUCGCGCGAACCAGAGCGACGAGCGCAGGAUUGACGCGCCCAACCACGUUGCCUGCGUUCGGCUUCUGGUGGAGUUGCUGGAGCAAAAAGCCGGCGACAACGCCGUCAGCGCCGUCGGUUAUCGCGUCGUGCAUGGCGGCCCGCGUUAUCGCGAUCCCCAGCGUGUUGAUGAGGCAAUGCUGGAGGAACUGCGGCGAAUCAGUUCCUUUGCCCCGAACCAUCUCCCGUCCGCCAUCGCGUUGAUGGAAGACUUCGUCA
rnacentral:misc_RNA from 1 species